rnacentral:rRNA from 1 species
UUGGGGCGAGUUGUAAUUUGCAGAGGGUGUUUCGGGCGCGGUGCCGGUUUAAGUCCUUUGGAACAGGGCGUCAUAGAGGGUGAGAACCCCGUAUGUGACCGGUCGCCAAACCCAUGUGAAACCCCUUCGACGAGUCGAGUUGUUUGGGAAUGCAGCUCAAAAUGGGUGGUAAAUUUCAUCUAAAGCUAAAUAUUGGCCAGAGACCGAUAGCGCACAAGUAGAGUGAUCGAAAGAUGAAAAGCACUUUGGAAAGAGAGUCAAACAGCACGUGAAAUUGUUGAAAGGGAAGCGCUUGCGACCAGACCUGCUCGCGGGUGAUCAGCGGUGCUUUUCGCGCCGUGCACUCGUCCGCGAUCAGGCCAGCAUCGGUUCAGGCGGCCGGAUAAAGACUCGGAGAAUGUAGCUCCCUCCGGGGAGUGUUAUAGCUCCUUGUGCAAUACGGCCAGCCGGGACCGAGGACCGCGCUCCGGCUAGGAUGCUGGCGUAAUGGUCGUAAGCGACCCGUCUUGAAACACGGACCAAGGAGUCUAACAUCUGUGCGAGUGUUUGGGCGUCAAACCCAUGCGCGCAAUGAAAGUGAACGUGAGGUGGGAACCCUUUCGGGGGCGCACCAUCGACCGAUCCAGAUGUCUUCGGAUGGAUUUGAGUAAGAGCACAGCUGUUGGGACCCGAAAGAUGGUGAACUAUGCCUGAAUAGGGUGAAGCCAGAGGAAACUCUGGUGGAGGCUCGCAGCGGUUCUGACGUGCAAAUCGAUCGUCAAAUUUGGGUAUAGGGGCGAAAGACUAAUCGA